AGCGAACGCUGGCGGCAGGCCUAACACAUGCAAGUCGAGCGGCCGUAGCAAUACGGCAGCGGCAGACGGGAGAGUAACACGUGGGAGCGCGCCCUUCGGUUCGGAAUAACUCAGGGAAACUUGAGCUAAUACCGGAUACGCCCUUACGGGGAAAGAUUUAUUGCCGAAGGAACGGCCCGCGUCCGAUUAGCUUGUUGGUGAGGUAACGGCUCACCAAGGCGACGAUCGGUAGCUGGUCUGAGAGGAUGACCAGCCUCACUGGGACUGAGACACGGCCCAGACUCCUACGGGAGGCAGCAGUGGGGAAUAUUGGACAGUGGGCGCAAGCCUGAUCCAGCCAUGCCGCGUGGGUGAUGAAGGCCCUAGGGUUGUAAAGCCCUUUCAGCGGGGAAGAUAAUGACGGUACCCGCAGAAGAAGCCCCGGCUAACUUCGUGCCAGCCGCCGCCGUAACAC
rnacentral:rRNA from 1 species